GACGAACGCUGGCGGCGUGCUUAACACAUGCAAGUCGAACGGAAAGGCCCUGCUUUUGUGGGGGGCUCGAGUGGCGAAAGGGUGAGUAACACGUGAGUAACCUGCCCUUGACUUUGGGAAAACUUCAGGAAACUGGGGGUAAUACCGGAUAGGAGCUCCUGCUGCAUGGUGGGGGUUGGAAAGUUUCGGCGGUUGGGGGUGGACUCGCGGCUUAUCAGCUUGUUGGUGGGGUAGUGGCUUACCAAGGCUUUGACGGGUAGCCGGCCUGAGAGGGUGACCGGCCACAUUGGGACUGAGAUACGGCCCAGACUCCUACGGGAGGCAGCAGUGGGGAAUAUUGCACAAUGGGCGGAAGCCUGAUGCAGCAACGCCGCGUGCGGGAUGACGGCCUUCGGGUUGUAAACCGCUUUCGCCUGUGACGAAGCGUGAGUGACGGUAAUGGGUAAAGAAGCACCGGCUAACUACGUG
rnacentral:rRNA from 1 species